rnacentral:rRNA from 1 species
GAUGAACGCUGGCGGCGUGCCUAAUACAUGCAAGUCGAGCGAACGGACGAGAAGCUUGCUUCUCUGAUGUUAGCGGCGGACGGGUGAGUAACACGUGGAUAACCUACCUAUAAGACUGGGAUAACUUCGGGAAACCGGAGCUAAUACCGGAUAAUAUUUUGAACCGCAUGGUUCAAAAGUGAAAGACGGUCUUGCUGUCACUUAUAGAUGGAUCCGCGCUGCAUUAGCUAGUUGGUAAGGUAACGGCUUACCAAGGCAACGAUGCAUAGCCGACCUGAGAGGGUGAUCGGGCACACUAGAACUGAGACACGGUCCAGACUCCUACGGGAGGCAGCAGUAGGGAAUCUUGCGCAAUGGGCGAAAGCCUGACGGAGCAACGCCGCGUGAGUGAUGAAGGUCUUCGGAUCGUAAAACUCUGUUAUUAGGGAAGAACAUAUGUGUAAGUAACUGUGCACAUCUUGACGGUACCUAAACAGAAAGCCACGGCUAACUACGUG